AUGAGGCAGGGUAUUGUGACUGUGGCGGUGAUGGUGGAGGGUGGAGGAGAGUGAUGGUGGGUGGAGGUUGAAGAUGAAGUGUGGUGGUGGGGUUUUUCUCUGAAAAUGUAGAAGAUGCCCGGAUAGUCCCUGUGGUUUGGCCUUUUAAAGGAAAGGGUAAAUUGGUCAUUUCACACCCACUUAACAGAGAAAACAAACUGAAGUUAGACCCAGGGACUAUCCGGGAACAAAAAAUGAAAAGUUGGGGACUAUUCAGGUAAUUUUAGAAAGUUGAGGACUAUAGGUGAAAAAAUGCGAAACCACAGGGACUAUUCGGGCAUUUUUCUCUAAAAUAAAGCAGAUACGCAAAAAGUAGCUACACGAAAAAGCUGUUACGAAAAAAAAAGCAAAUUUGUGAAAAGUUGACACCUAGACAAAAGUUCCAUUCCACACCAUAGUUACCUAAAUCGCUGGGUUUGCCACGAUCCACGUAUUGGAUCGUGGUGUACCCAAUCGCAAUUCACAGUCGUACCGGAACGAUGUGGUACGGCGUUUCAGAUUGAACUGGUUCGAAGUUCCAAAUCGGUUGGGUACAGCGAUCCGCUUCUUGCUAUUUUGCGAUCCGAAUUGAAUUGGUACCAUGUUUCGAUUCAACUGGUACGGUGUUCUAAAUCGUUUUGGUACAACGAUAUAUGGCUAAUUUUAGGCGGGAACAUGCUGAGUUAGUUUAAACAAUGUGUCCAGGAAGAAAGUGAAGAAAGAAGGGGGAAGAAGUUGAGCGGCUGCGUAGCGUACGGGUGUGUUUUAGGGUUUUUUGGUUUAAAUAAGUUUAGUUAUUUCAAUAUUUAACCCCUCUAUUUUUACUAGUGUAUAUUUAAACACUAAAACUUGUAUUUUUCUACAUAAAAAGUGUAAAACUAGUUUGUGUAUUUAAACAUUUAACCCCCUCUAUCUUCACUGGUUUACAUUUGGUCCUUAAACUUAUAAACUUAUCUAUACAUAUACAUAAAAAUUAUAAAUUAGCAUUAUAUAUAUACAUAACAUUUAACCAAAUUACAUCAUCAAUUUCUACUCCUAUUCAAUUUCCAUUUUUAUCUUUAACCUUCAAUGUUUAUAUUUAUGUUUGAUAAUUUGAAUUUUGGAAUUUCUGUUUUAAUUUGUGUACAACGAACCGAACUCUAUGGUACGCUGUACCGGUUUGUACCGAAAUGAACCUACCCCCUUCGUACCGAAAACGUCACCACUAGCGAAUCGCGUACCCGAACCACGUACCCGUACCGGAGCGAACAACGAAUUAGGUAACUAUGUUCCACACGUAUAAAUAAAAAAAAUAGGGUUGAUCAGUUAUGUACGUUUCAAGACAAUUAUGAUGAAAGUUGAACAUUUACGUGAAGUAAUUUCGCAUAUUUCAUGGCUUUAGAGGUAAAACUUGGACACUUGUGUCUAGUUACACCCAAAAAGUGAUCAUUUUCAUGAAUUUCUCCUAAUUAAUUCCAGUUCUGUUUUGUUCACUAUUUCAGUAUUAUAAAACUUCAUCCGCAUACAAGUUGUAACACGCCUUAUGGGCCCCUAAAACCAAGAAGUCUUAAAGAUCUUGC
rnacentral:lncRNA from 1 species